rnacentral:lncRNA from 1 species
GUAACUACCAUAAACUAACCACCAUUAAAGACAAAAACAAAAGCAAAAACAAAAACAAAAACAAUAGAGAAUUAGUAUCUUCCGCAGAAAUAACGUAAAUAAUUAUCUAAACAUAAGGAACAUAAAUACAAUCGCAUGCAAUAAUAUCAUACAGUAACUACCAUAAACUAACAACCAUUGGGGGGACAUAAGCUAAAACACAAAUCAUCUAUGGGUAUCCCUGCUGGCCCACACCCAACCCCGGUUGAGGCGUACGAAGAACUCUAGGAGCCCCUAACCUACAACCCUGAUUCUAGACCUCCAGACUCUCCUAUCAAGGGUCAUGUCCUCACCCUGAUAGAGGCGUGCGAAGAACUAUAGGAGCCCCUAACCUAUAACCCCGAUUCUAGACCUCCAGACUCUCCUAUUAAAUCAAUUAAAUCAUAUCCAUAUUAAUUAAAUAUUUUAUAGGCCAUCUAAAAAACUUUAUAAAAAUUAAACAUAUGUAUUACAGUUGUCUCUA